rnacentral:rRNA from 1 species
UACGGGUGGGGCAAGCGUUGUUCGGAAUUACUGGGCGUAAAGGGUUCGUAGGCGGCCAACUAAGUCAGACGUGAAAUCCCUCGGCUUAACCGGGGAACUGCGUCUGAUACUGGAUGGCUUGAGGUUGGGAGAGGGAUGCGGAAUUCCAGGUGUAGCGGUGAAAUGCGUAGAUAUCUGGAGGAACACCGGUGGCGAAGGCGGCAUCCUGGACCAAUUCUGACGCUGAGGAGCGAAAGCCAGGGGAGCAAACGGG